rnacentral:rRNA from 1 species
AUUAUUAAAGAGCUUAACAUUGUUAGUAAAUAAAAAUUAUGAAAGCAAAAAAUUAUGGCGGUAUUUUAAGCUUUUCAGAGGAAUUUGCUCUUUAAUGGAUAAAACACCUAAAUCUUACUUAAAUUUGUUAAUCCAAUUUGUAUACCACUAUAAAAACAAUUAAUAACUUUAAUUGUUAAAAUUUACUAAAUUAAAUUAUAUUAAGUCAAGGUGCAGUAAAAAUUUAAGAAUGAAGUGAAUUACAUUACUUUUUAGAGAGAGAAAAAUUAAAUUUAUAUUUAGGAUUUGAAAGUAAAAUUGAAAUAGAAUGUCAAUUUGAAUUAAGCUCUAAAAUAUGUAC